rnacentral:sRNA from 1 species
GCGCCGCAGCCGCCCGCCCGCCCGCUCCGCGCCCGGCCCCGGGAUGACGGCGGCCCAGGCAGCGGGUGAGGAGGCGCCACCAGGCGUGCGGUCGGUCAAGGUGGUCCUGGUGGGCGACGGCGGCUGCGGGAAGACGUCGCUGCUGAUGGUCUUCGCCGAUGGGGCCUUCCCCGAGAGCUACACCCCCACGGUGUUUGAGCGGUACAUGGUCAACCUGCAAGUGAAAGGCAAACCUGUGCACCUCCACAUCUGGGACACAGCAGGGCAAGAUGACUAUGACCGCCUGCGGCCCCUGUUCUACCCUGACGCCAGCGUCCUGCUGCUUUGCUUCGAUGUCACCAGCCCGAACAGCUUUGACAACGUCUUUAACCGGUUUUCCCUAGAUGCUGGCUGUGCUGAUUAUCAAUAUCAGAGCUCGGGCUGGGGAGCAAGAGAGUGGUCCACUGAGAGGGCCAGAACUCUCCAGGGCUCACACAUGCCCCCCCACACGCCCCCUCACCCCCCUGCAGUGGUACCCAGAAGUGAAUCAUUUCUGCAAGAAGGUACCCAUCAUCGUCGUGGGCUGCAAGACUGACCUGCGCAAGGACAAAUCACUGGUGAAC